AGAGUUUGAUCAUGGCUCAGGACGAACGCUGGCGGCGUGCUAAACACAUGCAAGUCGAACGAUGAACCACUUCGGUGGGGAUUAGUGGCGAACGGGUGAGUAACACGUGGGCAAUCUGCCCUGCACUCUGGGACAAGCCCUGGAAACGGGGUCUAAUACCGGAUACUGAUCGCCUUGGGCAUCCUUGGUGAUCGAAAGCUCCGGCGGUGCAGGAUGAGCCCGCGGCCUAUCAGCUUGUUGGUGAGGUAAUGGCUCACCAAGGCGACGACGGGUAGCCGGCCUGAGAGGGCGACCGGCCACACUGGGACUGAGACACGGCCCAGACUCCUACGGGAGGCAGCAGUGGGGAAUAUUGCACAAUGGGCGAAAGCCUGAUGCAGCGACGCCGCGUGAGGGAUGACGGCCUUCGGGUUGUAAACCUCUUUCAGCAGGGAAGAAGCGAAAGUGACGGUACCUGCAGAAGAAGCGCCGGCUAACUACGUGCCAGCAGCCGCGGUAAUACGUAGGGCGCGAGCGUUGUCCGGAAUUAUUGGGCGUAAAGAGCUCGUAGGCGGCUUGUCGCGUCGGUUGUGAAAGCCCGGGGCUUAACCCCGGGUCUGCAGUCGAUACGGGCAGGCUAGAGUUCGGUAGGGGAGAUCGGAAUUCCUGGUGUAGCGGUGAAAUGCGCAGAUAUCAGGAGGAACACCGGUGGCGAAGGCGGAUCUCUGGGCCGAUACUGACGCUGAGGAGCGAAAGCGUGGGGAGCGAACAGGAUUAGAUACCCUGGUAGUCCACGCCGUAAACGGUGGGCACUAGGUGUGGGCGACAUUCCACGUCGUCCGUGCCGCAGCUAACGCAUUAAGUGCCCCGCCUGGGGAGUACGGCCGCAAGGCUAAAACUCAAAGGAAUUGACGG
rnacentral:rRNA from 1 species